rnacentral:rRNA from 1 species
UACGGGAGGCAGCAGUGGGGAAUAUUGCACAAUGGGCGAAAGCCUGAUGCAGCUAUGCCGCGUGUAUGAAGAAGGCCUUAGGGUUGUAAAGUACUUUCAUCGGGGAGGAAAAACAAAACUAAUAAUUUUAUUUCUUGACGUUACCCGAAAAAGAAGCACCGGCUAACUCCGUGCCAGCAGCCGCGGUAAUACGGAGGGUGCUAGCGUUAAUCAGAAUUACUGGGCGUAAAGAGCACGUAGGUGGUUUUUUUAAGUCAGAUGUGAAAUCCCUGGGCUUAACCUGGAACUGCAUUUUGAAACUGAAAUACUAGAGUAUCGUAGAGGGAGGUAGAAUUCUAGGUGUAGCGGUGAAAUGCGUAGAUAUCUGGAGGAAUACCUGUGGCGAAAGCGGCCUCCUAAACGAAUACUGACACUGAGGGUGCGAAAGCGUGGGAAGCAAACAGGGAUUAGAUACC